rnacentral:lncRNA from 1 species
ACACAACAAAGCCGUGGGGUACUUAUCACAGGACCUCUGCAGUUCUCCGAGUGCCUUGCGCGGCCAGAGAACCUCUUUGUAUCAUUAACCUGUCUGGGAAGGAAGCAGAGACGUGAGGCACGGAGGCCCUCAACACACUGCCUGUGGUUCUCUGGAGUGAGCAGAUUCUGGGCUUUGGAGUCAAGAGGACACUAGCUGUGCAUCCUUCUUCACCCUUCCAAAGAAAACCUCAGAAUACGCUGAGGGAGACACGGCUCUUAAGCUCUGAACCGGGUGUGUACGUACGAAGUGGCAGCGACGCAGACCGUCCACGUGACCCAAGGGCCCGGGACAAAGCAGGAAAACAGCCCAAGCUAAUAGACUCUGGCCUUCCACUGGCCGGUUUCCCGAAUGGUCAGCCCAGGCGUCCUGCCUGCCAGUCCUAGACCCGACCGGGGACGGGGAGCGCGUUCCCUCCUGACAUUCCUACCAUGAGCCCGCCGCCUGCUACAGGACGCACGCUGUACUUGUCACCGGAAAGUUGAAGGGCGCAUGCGCGGGCGGUUAAAAACCCGCAUGCGCUAAUUC